rnacentral:misc_RNA from 1 species
GAAAUGCGAUACGUAAUGUGAAUUGCUUUCCGUGAAUCAUCAAAUCUUUGAACGCACAUUGCACUCGUAAGAGUAUGCCUGUUUGAGAAUCUACUAAUUCUUUUAUGCCUUGAUUUCGAUCUUGGUAUAGAGAGAUGAGGUGUUCCCUCUGUUAGGAGGGUACCUUUAAAUAGAUUGCUAUUGGUAUUUAGAAUGCGACGACGCUAUUCACACCUUUGCAGAAACGUAUGUGUAUGAACCUAUGGUUCUCUGAUGCUUACUAUGUAAAGAGAAUAGAAGAGCAUUUCUGAAAGCAGUAGUCCAAAACCUAAAGACUCUCGAGUCUUGAACUAAGGUCUCAAAUCAGGUAGGAAGACCCGCUGAACUUAA